rnacentral:rRNA from 1 species
AGAGUUUGAUCCUGGCUCAGGAUGAACGCUAGCUACAGGCUUAACACAUGCAAGUCGAGGGGAAACGACAUCGAAAGCUUGCUUUUGAUGGGCGUCGACCGGCGCACGGGUGAGUAACGCGUAUCCAACCUGCCCACCACUUGGGGAUAACCUUGCGAAAGUAAGACUAAUACCCAAUGACGUCUCUAGAAGACAUCUGAAAGGGAUUAAAGAUUUAUCGGUGAUGGAUGGGGAUGCGUCUGAUUAGCUUGUUGGCGGGGUAACGGCCCACCAAGGCGACGAUCAGUAGGGGUUCUGAGAGGAAGGUCCCCCACAUUGGAACUGAGACACGGUCCAAACUCCUACGGGAGGCAGCAGUGAGGAAUAUUGGUCAAUGGGCGAGAGCCUGAACCAGCCAAGUAGCGUGCAGGAUGACGGCCCUAUGGGUUGUAAACUGCUUUUAUAAGGGAAUAAAGUGAGUCUCGUGAGACUUUUUGCAUGUACCUUAUGAAUAAGGACCGGCUAAUUCCGUGCCAGCAGCCGCGGUAAUACGGAAGGUCCGGGCGUUAUCCGGAUUUAUUGGGUUUAAAGGGAGCGUAGGCCGGAGAUUAAGCGUGUUGUGAAAUGUAGACGCUCAACGUCUGCACUGCAGCGCGAACUGGUUUCCUUGAGUACGCACAAAGUGGGCGGAAUUCGUGGUGUAGCGGUGAAAUGCUUAGAUAUCACGAAGAACUCCGAUUGCGAAGGCAGCUCACUGGAGCGCAACUGACGCUGAAGCUCGAAAGUGCGGGUAUCGAACAGGAUUAGAUACCCUGGUAGUCCGCACGGUAAACGAUGGAUGCCCGCUGUUGGUCUGAAUAGGUCAGCGGCCAAGCGAAAGCAUUAAGCAUCCCACCUGGGGAGUACGCCGGCAACGGUGAAACUCAAAGGAAUUGACGG